AAAAGAUAAUUCUAUAAUGCUUACCUCCUGCAUUACAACAUCUACAAGGACAUUAUUAUGCGGAUGGUUUACUGUAUUUACAGCGGCGUUUCGCGAUCAAAGCACCAAAUAACUUUCUGUUCCUCUCGCGAUAACACACUUCUGACGACAGACACCUCACAAUUGCCGCGAAUAAGAUAUUAUGUGAAAAAGUGACAGAUAACGUACAUGUUGAGGUAGUCUGCCUACAGACGAAACAAGAAAUCGAGUCAAACAUUAAAAUAGAGAUUAAAGGCGCAGCUGGUUAAAGUUAUGAAACCCGUGUACCGUCAUUAAAACCAACCAAAAUGCAGAAAACGCUAUGACAACAAUCUACUGUAAUUUAAGGCCCAUCCACCACACUAACAGAAGGUCAAGAGUGACCGUGCUGAUUAAGCUGGAUCUUCUAAACAUAUUUUUAGCUAACUGCCUCAACACAUCCGGUUUACUGACACAGGCAUCUGAAGGAAACUCUAUCGUCCCCUGGAGUACUGAGGGAAUUUGAGAGUGUGUGGAGGCCCGGGGCGAAGGCUGUCUCUGCACAUGAUCGUCCGCAACUAAUACAUCCCACAAGUGCACAUGAGUGUGAUGGAGCCCCUGCCCAUAUUACUGUGGAAACAGGUGCUUUCUGCAGCCCAGCAGAUGUCCCACAACGCUGCUGUGGAAACGGCCUCUCAAUAGCCAUGCACAGAAACAAUGCAUGAUGCCCUGCCAAGGUGGUCCGACUUCUGUUUAUCGUUGACGCAGAUCUGUAUGAGUCAGAUGAGAGUUGGCGUCCUCCGGCCAGCUCAAGGUGACAGAGACGCAUGGUCAUCGAUCCCUGUCUCGCCUCCUCUCUGUUAUCAAAAUGUAACAUCAUUAUCUCCUACCCUUUGACCCCUUCUGAUGGACACAGGUGACAGCAGUGCUUACAUCAGCACAGCGAGGUGAGGAGGGUCAUUAUUAUCACAUUAUUCUCAUCCUCUCAUCACCCAGGAGUCUGUCUGUGUGUGAUCGUGUCUGCUGGGAGUCCUGGUGUAGAUCAACACAUCUUCCAAUGCACUAGAAACAGAGGAAAGGUUCGGGCUCCAACGGUCAUGUAUUUUUUCUGCUUCUUGCUAAGCUGGAUCCAUGUCUUACUGCAGGGCCCUUGUCCCUGGAGAACAUUUGGAGAACAGAAGAAAAAGCACAGCCAGGCGCAGAGGGACACAUUAGACACACACUGGAGCCACAGAGGAAGAGAGCACACUUCUCUCAACACCACACAGGAAGUCUUGGCUGCUCUGACGUCAAUCAGGGAGUUUCUCCUCACCGAUUGGCUGAUUCUUACUUUUCUGAGUGCCAGGGGACGAUGCCAGCGGGACAGGAAGUUGGUGUAGGUGGAGUGAAGUUGCCCAAAGCUCACGGGUAAGACACAGAGCUAAAAGCACUCAAGGC
ensembl:lncRNA